UGGGGAAUAUUGCACAAUGGGCGCAAGCCUGAUGCAGCAACGCCGCGUGAAGGAAGACGGUUUUCGGAUUGUAAACUUCUGUUCUUAGUGAAGAAUAAUGACGGUAGCUAAGGAGCAAGCCACGGCUAACUACGUGCCAGCAGCCGCGGUAAUACGUAGGUGGCAAGCGUUGUCCGGAAUUACUGGGUGUAAAGGGAGCGCAGGCGGGUGAUCAAGUCAGCUGUGAAAACUACGGGCUUAACCCGUAGACUGCAGUUGAAACUGUUCAUCUUGAGCGAAGUAGAGGUUGGCGGAAUUCCGAGUGUAGCGGUGAAAUGCGUAGAUAUUCGGAGGAACACCGGUGGCGAAGGCGGCCAACUGGGCUUUAACUGACGCUGAGGCUCGAAAGUGUGGGGAGCAA
rnacentral:rRNA from 1 species